AUUCUUCCCAUGCAGAAAGGAUGAGAAGCUUCGACCAAGGUUCGAUUCGAGCGUCAGCGAGAAAGCGUUGCCGCAGGCAACGACCCGAAGGGCGAAGCGCGCAGCGCUGAGUCAUCAUUCCCCCACCACCA
rnacentral:sRNA from 1 species